rnacentral:rRNA from 1 species
UACGAAGGGGGGCGAGCGUUGUUCGGAAUUACUGGGCGUAAAGGGCGCGUAGGCGGCGACCCAAGUCAGAUGUGAAAGUCCUGGGCUUAACCUGGGGGACUGCAUUUUGAUACUGGGUUGCUUGAAUUCGGGAGAGGAUAGCGGAAUUCCCAGUGUAGAGGUGAAAUUCGUAGAUAUUGGGAAGAACACCGGUGGCGAAGGCGGCUAUCUGGACCGACAUUGACGCUGAGGCGCGAAAAGCGUGGGGAGCAAACAGG